rnacentral:rRNA from 1 species
GACGAACGCUGGCGGCGUGCUUAACACAUGCAAGUCGAACGGAAAGGCCCUGCUUUUGUGGGGUGCUCGAGUGGCGAACGGGUGAGUAACACGUGGGUAACCUGCCCUUGACUUUGGGAUAACUUCAGGAAACUGGGGCUAAUACCGGAUAGGAGCUCCUGCUGCAUGGUGGGGGUUGGAAAGUUUCGGCGGUUGGGGAUGGACUCGCGGCUUAUCAGCUUGUUGGUGGGGUAGUGGCUUACCAAGGCUUUGACGGGUAGCCGGCCUGAGAGGGUGACCGGCCACAUUGGGACUGAGAUACGGCCCAGACUCCUACGGGAGGCAGCAGUGGGGAAUAUUGCACAAUGGGCGGGAGCCUGAUGCAGCAACGCCGCGUGCGGGAUGACGGCCUUCGGGUUGUAAACCGCUUUCGCCUGUGACGAAGCGUGAGUGACGGUAAUGGGUAAAGAAGCACCGGCUAACUACGUG